GUCCGCGGCGCAUUAGCUAGUUGGUGACGUAACGGCGCACCAAGGCAACGAUGCGCAGCCGACCUGAGAGGGUGAUCGGCCACACUGGGACUGAGACGCGGCCCAGACUCCUACGGGAGGCAGCAGUAGGGAAUCUUCCGCAAUGGACGAAAGGCUGACGGAGCAACGCCGCGUGCGUGAUGAAGGUUUUCGGAUCGUAAAACUCUGUUGUCAGGGAAGAACAAGUACGGGCGUAACUGUCCGUACCUUUACGGUACCUGACCAGAAAGCCACGGCUAACUGCGUGCCAGCAGCCGCGGUAAUACGUAGGUGGCAAGCGUUGUCCGGAAUUAUUGCGCGUAACCCGCGCGCAGGCGGUCUUUUAAGUCUGAUGUGAACGCCCAUGGCUCAACCGUGGAAGGUCAUUGGAAACUGGAAGACUUGAGUGCAGAAGAGAAGAGCGGAAUUCCACGUGUAGCGGUGAAAUGCGUAGAGAUGUGGAGGAACAUCAGUGGCGAAGGCGGCUCUUUGGUCUGUAGCUGACGCUGAGGCGCGAAAGCGUGGGGAGCAAACAGGAUUAGAUACCCUGGUAGUCCACGCCGUAAACGAUGAGUGCUAAGUGUUGGGGGGUUGCCGCCCCUCAGUGCUGCAGCUAACGCAUUAAGCACUCCGCCUGGGGAGUACGUCCGCACGGCUUAAACUCAAAGA
rnacentral:rRNA from 1 species